rnacentral:rRNA from 1 species
UACGAAGGGUGCUAGCGUUGUUCGGAUUCACUGGGCGUAAAGGGUGCGCAGGUGGCAUGGUAAGUUUGAUGUGAAAGCUCAGGGCUUAACCCUGAAAUGGCAUUGAAUACUACUGUGCUGGAGGUUUGGAGGGGGGACUGGAAUUCUUGGUGUAGCAGUGAAAUGCGUAGAUAUCAAGAGGAACACCAGUGGCGAAGGCGACUACCUGGCCUGUUUCUUGACGCUGAGGCGCGAAAGCUAGGGGAGCAAACGGG